rnacentral:lncRNA from 1 species
AUGGGAGUCUCGUCUCUUUUCUUCUCAUUCAAGAACAAGCCAGGACAAGUGAUUCUGGAAAAGGGGAGGGGACUGGCGAGGGGGAGAGGAUACUUACGCGGGUGCAGAGGGCAGUGGGACCGAGCGUGGUUUUGCCGGCAGGGAGAGGAGAACACGCGCGCGCACACACGCGGCGGUGUCUUGCGGUUGAUGAAUGUGAUAAUUGGACCCGGGCCGAUCCAGCAGAGAGGCCAACGUGGGCGUGGAUUUCGGGAGAGAGAUACCGAAGAUCCCUGCCUGGACACACAAACACACACAAAACCAUCCACUCUCCACCACCACCACCCUGAAGAGAGGAAGAGAAAGAGAGAAAAACCAACUCCAGGGUGCAGGCCGGCCUGCUUCCGGCUGUCUAGAGGCAGGCUGACCGCCAUUCUCUCAUCCCCCACCCCCCUAUCCCCUGUGCCCAGUGUGACACCAGGCCCAACCUGGGUCUGUUCUGAAUGGGGGGAAAAGUGAAAUGCCACAAGAUCAGUAGCAAGGAGCAGCUGCGGCGUUUCUCUCCUGGGAACGCCACUGCUUCGAAGCCUCCCGAGUGAUGUUUGUUUAACCAACAGCUUUCAAAGUAAACAGAGGCCAAGCGCUCCAAAGAAGUUGAAAUAUAACCCUUACAAGAAUUUGGGGCCCGAGUGCCGGCGGAAAAAGUAAUUUUUUUUUUUAAGUAAUAAAGCUUCCAUCCCAAAUAAGGGUCCACCUCAAUGCCUAAAGGAAACUAGAACUGCCAUAAAAAUACAAAUUCAUCGAAAGGAUUCAUUACAAUAAAGUGACCUCCAAGAAAAUCACCCCGCGUCCACAAAAACACACCUGCGGGGUUGGUUGGCAGCGAGGGAAGGGGCACACUACUAACUUGAUUUUAGGGAAGUGGGCGAAAACAAUCAAAGGGAGGUACAUUCCCUGCCCCGGAGUAGAAAAGAGUAGGCUGGGAGCUUUGCGCCGCCAACCCUGGCUUUGCCUCAGGCACCGAACUUUCCAAUAUCAAGAUAUUAACAGAUGGUGGUGAGCACAUGGAGGGCUGUUACUUACAUAAUCCAGCCACUCCGCCCGGCCGCGCUGAGCCGGGCAAGGCGUCCGCCAGGCCGCGCGCGCGCCUCCCGAGAGGUGCUGUUGGCCCCC